AGAACCCUUUCUUAAAGCUCGCAAAGCCUCACACACUCCUUUCACUCUUUGUUACGCAGCUUCAAAUGACCAGACUGCCCUUCCUUCCUCCCUUUUAUUACUUGCAGAAUCGUUGCUUUCCUUGCAUUCGUUGCUGGAAUCGGUGAAACCCAAGAGAAUUUUGAGCAUUGAAAGGAAUUCGAAUCGGGAAUGUGGGCCUUUGAUGAGCAAAAGCUUGUGGGGGGUAUCGUUACUAGUUUGGUUUGAGUUUUCCUCUCCUCUUUUCCCUAUUAAGGCGCUCUCCCUCCUUGAAGUGAAGUUUAUGAGGAAUUCAAUUUCUGUUCUGG
rnacentral:misc_RNA from 1 species